CCGUCCUCGAGCGGCAGGGUCGGCAUUGCUGGCAUGAUGAUCUUCCAGAACCUAUGCUUGCUCCAGAGCAUCACCAUCUCCUCUAUGGGCACGCCCUUGGUCUCCGGCAUGAAGACAUGGACGAAGGCGGUCAUGAGGGCUAUCCAGCUAGCGAAGAAGAUGAAGAUGGCGAACUUGAAGGCACAAAGCAGCGACAGGAACAAUUGUGCGAUGACGAAGGUGAAGAACAGGUUGACGGCCACUGUGAUGCUCUGCCCCGCCGACCGCGUCUCCAGCGGAAAGAUCUCGCUCGGCACCGUCCACCCAAGCGGACCCCAUGACCACCCGAACGCGAGCAUGAAGAGGCAUAUCACG
rnacentral:rRNA from 1 species